UAUUUUAUUCCAGUUUAAUGAGUUUUCAAAGUUUUAUAUUUAAACCCCGGGUUAUUGUGUUAUUGAUAAAUGAUUAUAUUUUUAAAACUGAUUUUCAUAUAUUGUUUCGAAAAUUUUAGAUGAUUAUUAUGUGAAUAUAUGUGUGGUGUGAGUAAGUGGUAUUGGUGGAUUUGUUGGUUAAUUAGUUACGGUUAAUUAUGAGUAUUAUAUGAUUAAUAUAUGAAUUUUUGUGAAUUUUAUAUUAUCUGGUUUAUUGCGUUAACUGCUCAUAUGUGUUCGUAUUUGAGAAAUUUCAAUUUCUAUAUGCUCAGGAGAAAAUAUAGUUUAUUUGGAUAUUUUCAUAUCGAUUUAUGGAAUGUUAGAUGAUUUUAUAAUCGAUUUACGGAUUUAAUUGCGUAUAUUUAUAUUUAUUGAUUAAUUAUUUGACUUCCGUAAAACCGUCCACUCGUAACGAGGUAGCAAAUUUUCUUCCCGGAAGUUUCAACAAAACUCACCUUUAGCCUAAUUGGAAUAUUCCGGACACUUUUCGUGUUUUGACUUUUUCGAUCCGGAGUACGGUUUUCCCCGGAGUCGGUCCGGCGGAGUUUUUCGGGUAUUUUAAUUGUUGAUAAUUAUCCAGAUUGUCUCGAUAAACGUGAAACUAGAUAUUUUGAUUCAUCCUUAUCUUGUAAUAAUUGCAGUGGGACCUGCAUACUAAUGAUUGAGUUAAAAAGCCCCGUUUUGAUGAUUAUCUCGUAAACCGGUACCGAUUGGACCCCGCUUUAUUAAUAUAAAGCUAUUAAAUAUCGUAUUUUCAUGUCAUAAACGAUCCAAAGGGGUACCAAUUAUUUGUAAAUAUAAAUAGACCUUUCUAGAGCUUAUUUUCACCCGUAAAAAUCAUUUCACCAGUUUCUUUCCAUGAAUACCGAGAGAAAACGAGCGGUGUUCUUCGUGUUCUUCAUAAUCAAACGCAGAUUUGGAGGUGUUAUUGGAAUCCGAUGGAGGCGUAUGAAUAGUCAAAACGAAGCUAUCGACGUGUAGAUUAUAGUUUAAUCAUUCGUUUGUGUGCAGAUUCAACAGGAUUUGGACGAGGCGUGUACGCUCGAAGAUGUUCAGAAUGUCAAGUGGUAUUGCAAAGCGAAUAAGGCACGAAUCGAGGAAGCGAAGCUAGAUUACGAAUAAAGUAUAGCCAGAGAUGGUAUAGAGAUUAUGAUAUGCAUAGAUUGUGAAAGUGGAAAGAUGAGAUAGAGAUGUGAGACUGGAGUCAGAUUUAAGGCAAGUAUCCUGCACCCUGCUUUUGGAUAUAUUGCAAAUAUUCUGAUUCAUUCUUUUGAUGUGUUGCAAGUAUCCUAAACCUUUCUCUUGGAUAUAUUGCAAAUAUUCUGAUUCAUUCCUUUGGUAUAUGUUUCAAGUAUUCAUACCUUUCUUUUCAAUGUUCGAAAGUGCGAGUAUUCUGACCCAUUCUUUCUAAUCUCCAAGUUUCUAAAGAAUUUCCGUUUUACAAAUUAAUUCGAAGUUCAGAUUGUCAUUGAAGCAUGUGUUGCUCAGUGAUAGUUAGAGCUUUGAAUGAAUUGGGAUCUUCUUGAUUAUUCAACCCGCCAUUGUCAUGCUGGUUUAGCAGGCUAAAUUCAGUUGCUUAGCCGAUAAUGGAGGAUAUUGAAUAGUUAGGGAUUUCCUGAACUAUGAUUUAUGAAAGGAUGAACUGUGACUUAUGAAAAGUUUAUUAUCAAAGUUUGAUUUGAAAUUAUUCUGUUGUUGAUGAUAUUUAUGAUGAUGUUCUGUUGAUUUACACUGACCUGUUAAACUGAAUUAGAGAAUUGGAUUAUUGUUUUUAUAUAAACAUGUGGACCAGAUGAGUGGUCAGACCAAAUGAGUGGUCAUGAUAGGCCAAUGAGUGCCUUGGAUCCAGUGAUAGAGCAUGGCGGGGCCUGCUCGGGGUUAGGUAUGACUGAUCAGCAUCCUAACCUUGGUUUUUAAUUAAAAUGUGAUAGUCCAAUUCAAUAAUUCUCUUGUGAAGGAUUGAAUUCCUCAGGUUUCUAUUGCUGCAAGGUAUUGUGAUUCUUUUAUACAAUACCUGAAUUUGUGAACUCAGGUUGAAUCUUUUUAUAUCUUGAACUCGAGAAUUUCUGCUAUAUCACUUCAGAACUUUCAUUGUUAUUAUUACUUGCUGAGCAUUGUUGCUCACUCUUGCUAUUCUCUUUUAACCAUUUCAGAAAGGAUUAAAGAUGAAUGGCUAGUCUAUGAUUGCGAGUAAAGUUAAGGCUAGGCGAGGAGUCAGAGGUGUUAAGGAUCCAGUGGUCGAGAAGUGUCCAGGAAGAUUGAUAAGGUUGAUGCUAGCUCGAGUUGUGCUAUUGAGAUUCAGAUGUAAGUCAUAGCUGGAAUAGUUGACAGUGAUUCUUCUUAUCGAAGAUGAUCUGAUUUGGUAAGAGAUGUUGGGUAAUAAUAGUGGUUGAUUCUAAUUUCAAUACUGUAACCUGGAAGCGAUCCUGUUGUUUUGGGGGUGAAGAUGUUCUCUUUCAAAUCUUUCAUUUAACGUCUUUCAGA